rnacentral:rRNA from 1 species
UACGAAGGGGGCUAGCGUUGUUCGGAAUCACUGGGCGUAAAGGGCGCGUAGGCGGCCGAUCAAGUCGGGGGUGAAAGCCUGUGGCUCAACCACAGAAUUGCCUUUGAUACUGUUUGGCUUGAGACCGGAAGAGGUUAGUGGAACUGCGAGUGUAGAGGUGAAAUUCGUAGAUAUUCGCAAGAACACCAGUGGCGAAGGCGGCUGACUGGUCCGGUUCUGACGCUGAGGCGCGAAAGCCAGGGGAGCGAACGGG